CCAAUAGCGUAUAUUAAAGUUGUUGCAGUUAAAAAGCUCGUAGUUGAAUUUCGGGAUCAAUACGUCGGUCGUGCUUUCGGGUACGUACUGGCGUCAUUGGUUUCUCCUUUCUGACGAACCAUGAUGUCAUUAAUUUGGUGUCUUGGGGAAUCAGGACUGUUACUUUGAAAAAAUUAGAGUGUUUAAAGCAGGCUCACGCUUGAAUACAUUAGCAUGGAAUAAUGAAAUAGGACGUUUGAUUCUAUUUUGUUGGUUUCUAGGAUCGACGUAAUGAUUAAUAGGGAUAGUUGGGGGCAUUAGUAUUCAAUUGUCAGAGGUGAAAUUCUUGGAUUUAUUGAAGACUAACUACUGCGAAAGCAUUUGCCAAGGAUGUUUUCAUUAAUCAAGAACGAAAGUUAGGGGAUCGAAGACGAUCAGAUACCGUCGUAGUCUUAACCAUAAACUAUGCCGACUAGGGAUCGGAUGAUGUUAAUUUUUUAAUGACUCAUUCGGCGCCUUACG
rnacentral:rRNA from 1 species